rnacentral:tRNA from 1 species
GUAGAAUUAGUUUAUAUUAAGAUACUAGGUUGUGGGCUUAGAGAAAAAUUUUUAUU